UGUGCUAAUACUGGAUAAGUCUUUACGGAGAAAGCUUUAUGCACCAUUGGAUGAGCCUGCACUUGAUUAGUUUGUUGGUGGGGUAAUGGCCUACCAAGACUUUGAUCAAUAGCUGAUUUGAGAGGAUGAUCAGCCACAUUGGGACUGAGACACGGCCCAAACUCCUACGGGAGGCAGCAGUGGGGAAUCUUGCACAAUGGAGGAAACUCUGAUGCAGCGAUGCCGCGUGAGUGAAGAAGGCCUUUGGGUUGUAAAGCUCUUUCGUCGGGGAAGAAAAUGACUGUACCCGAAUAAGAAGGUCCGGCUAACUUCGUGCCAGCAGCCGCGGUAAUACGAAGGGACCUAGCGUAGUUCGGAAUUACUGGGCUUAAAGAGUUCGUAGGUGGUUGAAAAAGUUGGUGGUGAAAUCCCAGAGCUUAACUCUGGAACUGCCAUCAAAACUUUUCAGCUAGAGUAUGGUAGAGGAAAGCAGAAUUUCUAGUGUAGAGGUGAAAUUCGUAGAUAUUAGAAAGAAUACCAAUUGCGAAGGCAGCUUUCUGGAUCAUUACUGACACUGAGGAACGAAAGCAUGGGUAGCGAAGAGGAUUAGAUACCCUCGUAGUCCAUGCCGUAAACGAUGUGUGUUAGACGUUGGAAAUUUAUUUUCAGUGUCGCAGCGAAAGCGAUAAACACACCGCCUGGGGAGUACGACCGCAAGGUUAAAACUCAAAUGAAUUGACGGGGACCCGCACAAGUAGUGGAGCAUGUGGUUUAAUUCGAAGAUACGCGCAGAACCUUACCAACACUUGACAUGUUCGUCGCGACUUUAAGAGAUUAAAGUUUUCGGUUCGGCCGGACGAAACACAGGUGCUGCAUGGCUGUCGUCAGCUCGUGUCGUG
rnacentral:rRNA from 1 species